CGGUAGUGCGAGUAAAGUGGCGAACGGGUGAGUAACGCGAGGGUGAUCUACCCUUCGGUGGGGGAUAACCCGGGGAAACUCGGGCUAAUACCGCAUGAGCCUAAUUUUGUAAGUGAGAUCAGGGAAAGUUUUCGAAUGCCGAAGGAGGAGCCCGCGUCCGAUUAGCUAGUUGGUGAGGUAAGAGCUCACCAAGGCGACGAUCGGUAGCCGGUCUGAGAGGACGGACGGUCACACCGGGACUGAGACACGGCCCAG
rnacentral:rRNA from 1 species